UGUCAACACUAGGGACUAUACUUGUGGACAACGAAAAUCAAGGGACGACAAUUGUGGUCUCGGCCCAUUAGAUAAACAAGAAGAAGGUCUAUGAAACAUCCCAAAAGUGCACACAUGUUGCAACUAAUAACAGUUCAACUGGUGACAAAAUAUGAAGUUGUUGUGUUCAAUAGUAUUGGAGAAAUAAUGGACCAAAACAUUUUUAAUGUGUGAAAAAUGAGAUGGGACAUGGAUAAAUGAACACAAGGC
rnacentral:lncRNA from 1 species